rnacentral:rRNA from 1 species
AUUGAACGCUGGCGGCAGGCCUAACACAUGCAAGUCGAACGGUAGCACAGAGGAGCUUGCUCCUUGGGUGACGAGUGGCGGACGGGUGAGUAAUGUCUGGGAAACUGCCCGAUGGAGGGGGAUAACUACUGGAAACGGUAGCUAAUACCGCAUAACGUCGCAAGACCAAAGAGGGGGACCUUCGGGCCUCUUGCCAUCGGAUGUGCCCAGAUGGGAUUAGCUAGUAGGCGGGGUAACGGCUCACCUAGGCGACGAUCCCUAGCUGGUCUGAGAGGAUGACCAGCCACACUGGAACUGAGACACGGUCCAGACUCCUACGGGAGGCAGCAGUGGGGAAUAUUGCACAAUGGGCGCAAGCCUGAUGCAGCCAUGCCGCGUGUAUGAAGAAGGCCUUCGGGUUGUAAAGUACUUUCAGCGAGGAGGAAGGUGUUGUGGUUAAUAACCGCAGCAAUUGACGUUACUCGCAGAAGAAGCACCGGCUAAC